GUCUGGACGCGCUGGGUGGAUGCGGGGGGCUCCUGGGAACUGGGUUGGAGCCGAACGAGCGCUAGCCAGGCGUAAGCGCGCACACACUGCAGCGUCCCGAGGACGACCCCCCUCCCACCGCCGCCCCCUCAGCCCACCCGGAGACCCCUGCACCGAGUCGCCUCCGGAUCCCCGGCAGUCUGCGGGAGGUAAGGAGCGGUACUUGCAAACCUCCGAG
rnacentral:other from 1 species